UAACCGGAUUUCCCUGUUUGUGAGGCCCAGCGCUUUAAAGCUUUAAAGCCAGGGCCCCUUCUUACUCAGCUGUAUGCUGAGCCGGGGGUGCCCAGGGGGGCCUGGAUGCUGGGAGUAGGCACAAGUGGGCUGUGACAGACAAGGGGACGGAGCUCAGAGCAGCCACCUGAAUUACCUGGGGCCACACAGGUAGCCAGUGGCAGAGCCAGGACCCGACCUCAGGAGCUGCCUGGAGAUGCUGCUGCUCCUGCUGCUGCUGU